CCGAGCGAGGGCUCCGGCCCGACCUCCAACCCAUUGAAGUUACCAACUCUGUUGCCUCGGGGGUGACCCGGCCGCCGCGUCGGGGCCCCCGAAGGACCACACCACUCUGCGUCUCUGCGUCGGAGUUUGAGGGGAAAUGUCAAUCA
rnacentral:misc_RNA from 1 species